UCAAUACAAUGGCUGACAUUUAUUUAUUUAAUAAUAUAGAACUAACACAUGCGUAUUAUUUUGUCGUCUCUGCAACCUCUGUGUCAUAAUCGUCGUCUGUAAGAAUAUUAUUUUACUAUAAUUAAUAUCCUUAUUUUAUUAUUACUAUUAUCCUUCUUCGUUCUGCUUCGUAUUACCGCAAAGAUACUUAUUAUUACACCUGCCUUCAUGAUACAUUUUUAUACCAUGAUAAUAUUGUUUAACAAAAAGCGAGCCAAUUACGCGCGCUCAUAUGGGACCUUAAAGGCAGCCGAUCUCUUUUUUCCGAGCACCAUCAACAUCAUCGUCAUCGUUGUUAGGACCAACUGCAUCAGCGGUUCACAUUAAUGGUAAUUUUUUCUCUCCUGGUGUUUCUGUUUGUCAGUUCACGUUCACGUUCACGUUCACGUUAAUAGGCCCCAAUACAGUAUGUUUUUAUAGUACUCCUUUGUUAGCAUAGUGUAUAUAUCAUAUUCAUUCUAUUUUUCACAGCCUUUCUUUUUUGGGUUUCUAUGUGUGUUAUAUAAUACACCACUAGAUAGCUUUUUUGUUUCAUUAGGCAAAAUACAAAUUUUGUUCUGCCGUUGUUGGCGACUAUCGCUUUUAGACCGAGGUUACGAAAGCGUGACAGUGGAUUUAACCAAGUCAUUACGUUGUUCUAAUGUCUAUUCUUUUUUUUUUCUUUUUUUUUGUAUGAAAGGUUUUCUGGCCAUCUCUGGGUUUCUUCUCGCUCUCGCAAUAUUCACUUCCUGUUUUGAAUACUUAGACGGCACAUUUUGUGUGAAUGCUUCGGGCCGCAUCGGCUCCUUUGCUUCGUUGGAUUAUAAGUGCACCUUUGAUAGCGCAAAUCCGCAAACUUGCUUAUGACGUUCGUUAACGUUCCCUAACAAGGAGACCUUGGAAAGGAAAUUAUCAAGCUAAAGUAAUGCUUUCGUAUAGUUUCUACGCGGGGCAGGCGACGAAGGAACACAGGAAUUUAGAUGGAGAUCGGGUGGUGAUGACACUCCUUCACUCGAUGGGGGCACUAUACGAUUUCUGCUGUGAGACAGACAUAUUAGUACACUUCAUUUCGAUUUCUCUCAAUUUUGAUCGUACGUAUAUACCGCACGAAGCAAUCAAAAUAUGUGUUCCAGAAACACUACGCUUCUAAGCUUUGAAAAAGCUAAAGGAUCACUAAAAAAAAAAAGGGAGAAACAUGAGAAUCGAGUAAUCAUAGCUGCACAAUAGUAACCAACAAAUGAGGCAGUAUUUUGCACCUUUUUCUGUCAUCGUUUGCUCAUAAUGACGCUCAGCAGCCUUCGUCAAUGCGUCAGCAAUGACGAAGCGUGAACCGAAUAAAGCAAACAACAUAAUUAGCAAAAAAAUAACGGGCGCACGUACGAAUAAUGACCAGAGAAGCACAGACAGUUAAUUAAUAAACUGUGACGGCAAGAAUUAAUGUGGUCUUUAAACAGAAACCUUUAAAGCAGAAAUAUCAUUUACUAAUUGCUUUGUACAACUCCCUGAGACCAAGUGCGAUGAAUGAUUUACGCUCUGCCUUGCGUUGAUCGGACGAAACCAACUACGAGAAGAUACCAAGGUAUUUAGUUCUUCCCCUAAUUUCUGGUCCAUAAGCAUCGCAACGGCAAAAUCAAUCACUUAGACCACGUGAGAGUGUUCCAGUUGUGUACAUGACUGCUGCCUCGGAUCUUGAGUUGCUGAUUGGCAUUGCGCUACGGCGAAGUAACAUGGGACAAGAGAGGUACUAUAAACAUCAUUGCCAUGAAUAUCAGAAUUGGUUAUAUGGCACUCACCACUAUAUGUUCUGCACUUUAUCAUAUAGAGUUGAUUCAAGCUGAAGUCUACAACGGCUCAACAAACAACAUAGGAAGACUUUGGCUAUAGGGGUGGUUGAGGUGACUUCCUCGAAUGGCCAAUUGGUCUGUGUGAGAAAUUGAGGGCAAGUAUGGCGCACAGCGUACUUUUGGGAAGUGUCCCGAAAGCGAGAUAUGAUACACCAUGGCUCAUCUAUCUUAUCGACGUCAUCCAAAUAGAAAGACAUAUCGUUCUCUACUUUGAAAUAAAUUCU